GUAGCAGUAGCCUGGGGCGGCCCUCGCCUCGAGAGAAAGGUCACUGGGGAGCAAGAAACAAGUGCGGUAAUCCGACUUGCGUGGGGCCAGGGACCCCCGCCCCCGGCGCGGCCAAUCGCAGGCAGGGGGAGGGGGCCCCGAGCGAAAAAGGAUGGCAAUUCCCGAAGGUCCGCACAGUCUCGUCGCGCCCUCGGCCGUGAUCUAACCUGGUUCUUCAAACUCGCGUCGUCCCGGAGCCGAACUCGCGGCAGUUAUUCACCAAAGCCCGCGCCGCCCUCCCACCUCUCAGCCCCGACCCGCGGGCGAAGACAGCAGGAAGCUUCCGGGAGGCGGGGCCAGGGGGUGGAAGAAGGGAACGGAAAGAGGUAGUCGCUUCAACGUCGCCGGAUGGAUCGCGAGACAGGCCGGGCGGAAGUGACGUGUCUUGAGGGCGCCGGGCGGCCUGUGAACGUGGCCUCUCUAGCCACGCUUGUGGUGGGGCACUCUCCGUGCUUGAGAAUGGAACCAACCCUUUGGGCAGAAUGCAGAAAAUCACAAGCAAAUGGAGCCAGAUCAACUCAGGUCACUUCUAUCUUCAACCACACUUCAGGAUCUUAGAGAUAGUGAGAGAAGAACAGACCUUUCUAGAACCUUUCAGUCCUUACCAGGUAACCAUAUUCUUCAGCUACUGGUGAGAUCUGUCUUUUCUGAAAGCCCCAGUCAGUCACCUGACACCUUCACAGUAGACUGGACUGGUCCAAAAGGGUAACCACUCUAGAAAAUUAGGAAAUGGACUAGACUGGGGUGGAGCGGGAAGACACGAUUCUCUUAUUGACCACAUUCCUCAUUUCUGACAAGCCACCACCUCUUCACCAUCUAAAUGAAGAGGAAAAAGGAGUAACCCAAGAGAAAUGAGUUUUGCCCUCACUCAAAAAUUGGGAAAACAGCAUUAGAGGUGCUAAAAGAAUUCUUAAUGGUUUUAUCACUUUUCUUUAAAAGUUCUAACUCAUCGCCUCAGCAAUGUUACAAUUUAAGUAAUAUUUUAAUAAUUCUUUUUUUAAAGGGUAAACCACAUUCAGAGAUUUCAAGUGAUUUUUUUUUCCAAAUUACCCAGUGAGUGCUUGUCUUAACCACAAGACCCAGUUUUCUGAAAUCCAGUCCUUCGUUAAAUACACAAUUCGGCCAAAAGGUGGCAGCAGGCCUCACGCCUUCACCCACAGUAACCCUUGGAAAGCUUUGAUUGCAGAAUACUGCUGGAGUAUUUACCCAUCAGUCCUAUCUUCAACUUAACUCUUCGAAAUCUGAACAGCACUCUUCGGGUGGGCUUAAUGUGCCCCUCAAGGACAAAAUUAAGAUUUUUUUUUUUACUGGUUUUUCAAUGCUCCCUGCAGAGCACUUAAGAGUGGUUUAAAUCUCCAUGUACUGAAAUAUUCCACUAACUCUGGGUUGAGUUGUGUGCUAACAGUAAUUCUGUGGUAGUCCGUUAUUUAUCCUUAGUUUUUGACAAGAUGUCUUUCAUCUGGCACGGCAUCACAUAUUAAACAGACACAUGCCGAUCUCCCAGCCCCUGUUCCAGAACUAGUGAAUAUGAAUAUGCAGGUGAUUGAUCUAGCAAUGGAAGUUCUUACUUUCGUGAUUAUCCUCCUUAACUGGGCAUGUUUGAGGAACACUAAUUUAUUUAUAGGAGCUCUUUAUAUAUAGUAUAUAUUAACAUUUAGUAUCUUAAGAAUUGUCCAAUAUUUUCUCCCAGCGUUGUCCAGCAU
ensembl:lincRNA